rnacentral:lncRNA from 10 species
AGUGCAAACAUGAGUAACAUGGCCCUGCUCUGGAGACUACUGGGAACACAAACACAGGCCAUUUAAGACAUCUACCUGCUUCUCCUUUGCCUUCCAUCAUGACUGAAAGUUGUCUGAGGUCUCCCAGCCACGUGUCCUGUACAGCCUGUGGAACUGUGGUACAGUUGAAGAAAGAGCUCAACUCUGGCAAAGGGAGACCAAGAGUAACCUCUGGUGUGGAAGUUGGCUGAGCACUCAGUGCCUGACUGUGCUAUACUCCUGUUGGACAUGAGCUGUCUCUCAGAACACCAAUUCAGACAAGGUUACUCCAAGACUAUGAUACAAUAAAGCAAAGCAAGGAUACUUCGUAAUUUUGUGGAAGCACAGACAAAAUCAAUAUCAGUAUGCCACCUACAAAAGACCAAACAGCCCUUCUCUUGGCCAAAAUGAGUGAUGUCUACUUCUUUACUAAUGAAGUUUUAUUUUUGUUCUAGUCAGCUCUCCAUCCAGAUGAGAUUUUUUGAGAUACCCAAUCUUAUAAUUGCCUCCAGCUUUCUGACAGCAUCUAAUUUUGGCAAACUCUCCCCUCCUUCUGUCCUCUCCCAAAUGACCUAACCUAAACCCCAAAUCUACAGAAAGUUAUUUCUAUUACCAUCUUACUGAGACACCCCAUGAUUCCUCAUGAUAUGUGUUAUUUGUCUGUGCAACAGGUAAUAAAUUGAACUUGUUCACUAGUCACACUGAAUUUGGACACUGGAGAAGAGAAAGGAGAAGGCCAUUCUGGCUACCCUAGGACUCAGAGACGCAGACUUUAAAGAAGAAUCAGAAAAUGGAGACUGGGAUUGGAAGCAGAGAUCCGAUGGCCAAAUUACAGUCUGCCACUGAAGCUAACACACCUAUGGGUAAGAAAAGAUCAGAUAAAUACUGCUAUGAUCUGAAUGUUUGUGUCCCUCCCAAAUACAUAUGCUGAAACCCUGCCCCCUAAGGUGAUGGUAUUAGGAUUGUGUGGCCUCUGAUUAGUGCUUUUCUAUAAAAGUUUCAGAGUAUUCUUUAGUCUCUUCCACCAUGUGAGGGCACAGUGAAAGGAAGGACUUCUAUGGAGCAGAAUGUGGGCCCUUACCAACACUGAGUCUUCCAUUGCCUUGACCUUUAACUUCCCGGCCUUCACAACAGUGAGAAAUAAAUUUCUGUAGUUUAUAAGCCAAAUAACCCAACCUGUAAACUCAAUGUGGAACACAGUUUGAGAAAAGAAGUGAGAAGAUUCAAUUUUGAAGUUGGAUCACUCUCCUACAGGCAAUGAAGACCACAUCACUGAUGAACUCUGACUAAUACAUCAUGAACUUGCAGAAUUUUGGAUAUUUGACAAAUCUGAGGAAUUGAAGAGACGGGCACCUCACCUUUUCUGAGCAGAAGAGUUCAUUUGAUGAAACCUGAAGUAGAGAGCA